GGAUGAACGCUGGCGGCGUGCCUAAUACAUGCAAGUCGAGCGAACGGACGAGAAUCUUGCUUCUCUGAUGUUAGCGGCGGACGGGUGAGUAACACGUGGAUAACCUACCUAUAUUACUGGGAUAACUUCGGGAAACCGGAGCUAAUACCGGAUAAUAUUUUUAACCGCAUGGUUCAAAAGUGAAAGACGGUCUUGCUGUCACUUAUAGAUGGAUCCGCGCUGCAUUAGCUAGUUGGUAAGGUAACGGCUUACCAAGGCAACGAAGCAUAGCCGACCUGAGAGGGUGAUCGGCCACACUGGAACUGAGACACGGUCCAGACUCCUACGGGAGGCAGCAGUAGGGAAUAUUCCGCAAUGGGCGAAAGCCUGACGGAGCAACGCCGCGUGAGUGAUGAAGGUCUUCGGAUCGUAAAACUCUGUUAUUAGGGAAGAAAAUAUGUGUAAGUAACUGUGCACAUCUUGACGGUACCUAAUCAGAAAGCCACGGCUAACUACGUG
rnacentral:rRNA from 1 species